GACUCGAUAGGCCAAUCUUUUAAAAUCGUAGCUUUAAACCCCCAAGAUCGGAUUUUUCCAUCGAGAAUUGAAGAAACAGCAUUCCAGUAGCUGGAGCUGAUGUUUUCUAGGUUUUUUCUAGGGUUCUGCUUUUGAGGAUAUUCUAGGGUUUCGUUUUACGUGUUUUCGAUCAGAUAACGACGAAAGAUUGGCUUUUUUGAACUUUGGAAGCGUAUUUCCGUAGAAAAAUCGAAGAGACAGCAAUACAGAAGCUCAAGCAACGUUUUUCUCCUUUUCUGCUUAUUUCUAGGGUUUUUAGGGUUUGUGCAGUUAUUAGUAUUUUCUAGGGUUGCUGGUUUUCGGUUGCAUACCGAUCCGAAUCGCAGGAAGAUUGGCUCUAGUUGUAGGAUUUUUUCGGGUUUUCGUUUUUAGGUUUUAGAUUGGAAAACGAUCUGAUUCGCAGUUGUUAUGUGAAAUAGGAUUUCGGUGGUGGAAUCAGUGUAAUAGGAUCAUAUAAGUUCGAAGUUGUAGUUUUUCUAUCUUUCUCGAGUUUCUCUCCGGUGUCCGCCUUUUAUUUUUUAUUUUUAGGUUUUCAGUCAUAAAACAAUCCGGAUCGUAUAUGUAAUGUUGAAAGAUUGAAAAUUUCCAUCUUAGGAAGUGUGGUUCUGCUCUGCCUGCGGUUUUUUAUUUUUAUUUUUCAUUUUUCUAGGGUUUUUUGCUUUAAGGCCUGAUCUAGGGUUUAUGUUAUCAAGUUUUUAUCAGUAAAAUGAUCUGAAUGAGAUGGAACAAUGACUGAUUCAGUUUUUUCUAGAAGCUGCCAGGUUUCCCUUUUUCUAUGUUUUAGGGUUUUCGAAUGGUCACUGAGAGUCCUUUGAAGAUGUUAUCGGAGAUGGGAAUGCGGACAAUGCUUGGAAGCAAUGAUGGAUCUUAUGGUGAAGAUUUGGGGACGGAGCUGGAAUUGUUGCUCCAAGAGCAACGGCGACAAGAGGCAAGCGACCGCGAGCGGGAGCUGAAUCUCUACAGGAGUGGUUCUGCUCCACCAACUGUUGAAGGAUCUUUAACUGCUGUUGGAAGUCUGUUUGGCCAUGGCAGUGGUGAUGCUGUGGCUGACUUCCCUGGAAGUAAAAACAGCAGCACCAAUGGAUUCUUGUCAGAAGAAGAGCUGCGGUCCGAUCCGGCCUAUUUGUCUUACUACUAUGCCCAUGUGAAACUGAACCCUCGGCUCCCACCACCGGUAUUGUCAAAGGAAGACAUGCGGUUUGCACAGCGAUUGCAGGCCGGGGGGACGGCGUACGGAGGGAUAGGAGAUAGGAGGAAGGUGAAUCGUGUGGAGGAUGGGGGCAGCAAGUCGCUGUUCUCAUUGCAACCAGGAUUUAAUUCGCAGAAAGAUGAAUCUGAGAUCGAGUCAAGGAAACCGCAGAGAUCAUCGGAGUGGUUAGAGAGGGGGGGCGAUGGGUUAAUUGGUUUGUCAGGGUUGGGACUUGGGAGCAGACAGAAGAGCCUUGCUGACAUCUUUCAGGAUGAUCUGGGGCACCAAACCCCAAUCACAGGGCAUCCAUCUCGUCCAGCAAGUCGCAAUACCUUCGAUGAUGGUGUCGAAACAUUUAGUUCUGCUGAAGCUCAGCUUUCUCAUUUACAUCACGAAAUGACGUCUGGUGCAAAUGUUCAAAGUAUGGCUGGGGUCCAAAGUAUUGGAGUGUCUGCUUCUAAUGCUUUUGCAUCUGCGUUAGGCACAUCUCUAUCGAGAAGUGCCACUCCUGAUCCUCAGCUUGUUGCUAGGGCUCCUAGUCCUCGUCUUCCACCUGUGGGAGAGAGGUAUAGUGCUACAGACAAGAAUGGUAUCAAUGGUUCAAGCUCAUUUAGUGCCUCAACUAGUAUCACCGAAUCUGCAGAUCUAGUAGCUGCUUUAUCAGGCGUGAACCUGUCAGCAAAUGGUGGGAUGGAUGAAGAAAAUAAUUUGCAGUCACAGAUUCAACAUGAAAUUGAUGAUCACCGUAAUUUCCUUUUUGAUCUGCAAGGUGUUCAGAACCACAUUAAGCAACAUUCAUACCUGAAAAAAUCUGGAUCAGGGCAUUCGCAUCUGCCUUCUAUUCCUCAGCCAGUGAAACCAUCAUAUCCUGAUUUUAGCAAAAGCAACGGAGCUUUCAUGGACCAAAACCAUUCUUCAUUCAUGGUUGAAGGGCAAGCCGACUUUCACAAGCCCACUGUUUCUUCUGUUAACUCGUAUGUAAAGGAACCUACGCCUGUUGGUACUGGUUCAGGAGGUUCUCAUUAUCAGAAUGUAGACAACAUAAAUGCAGCAUUUGCAAGCUAUGGUCUGGGUGGGUAUUCCAUCAGUCCAGCGUUGCCAUCCAUGAUGGCCAAUCAUCUCGGCACUGGAAAUUUGCCUCCUUUGUUUGAAAAUGCUGCUGCAGCAUCUGCUAUUGCGGCCCCUGGAAUGGACACUAGAGCACUGGGAGGAGGGUUGCCUACAGGAAUUAAUUUAACUGGAGCAACAGAAGUGCAAAAUCUCAAUAGAAUGGGCAAUCAUGCAGCAGCAGCAGCUCUUCAGGUGCCCCUCAUGGAUCCAUUGUAUGUUCAGUACUUGAGAUCGGCUGAAUAUGCAGCUCAGGCGGCAGCUGGCUUUAAUGAUCCUUCUAUGGAUAGGAACUAUGUGGGCAGUUCUUAUGCAGACUUACUUCAAAAAGCUUACCUUGGGGCUCUGCUUUCACCACAGAAAUCACAGUAUGGUUUACCCUAUCUCAAUAAAUCCAGUGCUUUGAAUCAUGGUUACUUUGGAAAUCCUACUUUUGGUCUUGGCAUGUCAUAUCCAGGAAGCCCCCUGUCUAGUCCUGUCAUUCCUGCAUCUCCUUUACCUGGUAGUCCUAUUAGGCACAAUGAACGGAACAUACGCUUUCCUUCCGGUAUGAGAAACUUAGCUGGAGGUGUCAUGGGUUCUUGGCAUCCAGAUGCUGGUGGUAAUUUGGAUGAAGGUUUUGCUUCGUCGCUGCUGGAGGAAUUUAAAAGCAAUAAGACCAAAUGUUUUGAACUAUCCGAGAUUGCUGGUCAUGUUGUUGAGUUCAGUGCUGACCAGUAUGGGAGCCGGUUCAUUCAGCAAAAACUUGAAACUGCCACAAUGGAAGAGAAAAACAUGGUUUUUGAAGAAAUCUUUCCUCAAGCUCUUACCUUGAUGACUGAUGUGUUUGGAAAUUAUGUUAUCCAGAAGUUUUUCGAGCAUGGAAGUGCAACCCAGAGACGAGAACUGGCCAAUCAGCUCACUGGGCAUGUAUUGACACUUAGCCUUCAAAUGUAUGGCUGUCGAGUGAUCCAGAAGGCAAUAGAAGUUGUUGAUUUGGACCAGCAGACUAAAAUGGUUCAAGAGCUUGAUGGUCAUGUCAUGCGGUGUGUACGUGAUCAAAAUGGGAACCAUGUCAUCCAAAAGUGUAUUGAAUGCAUCCCUCAAGAUGCAAUUCAUUUUAUCAUAUCCUCAUUCUAUGACCAAGUUGUGACGUUGUCCACCCAUCCAUAUGGCUGUCGUGUCAUACAGAGAGUGUUGGAGCACUGUGAUGAUCCAAAAACCCAGCGUAUCAUGAUGGAUGAGAUUUUGCAAUGCGUUUGCAUGUUGGCGCAGGACCAGUAUGGAAACUAUGUUAUUCAGCAUGUACUGGAGCGUGGAAAAUCACACGAACGUUCUUCUAUAAUCAAGAAAUUAGCUGGACAGAUAGUUCAGAUGAGCCAACAGAAAUUUGCAUCAAAUGUUGUUGAGAAGUGUUUAACUUUUGGCGGUCCUAUGGAACGUCAGAUUUUGGUAAAUGAGAUGCUUGGCUCCACUGAUGAAAAUGAGCCUCUUCAGGCAAUGAUGAAAGAUCAAUUUGCAAACUACCUGUAUUUUCAAUACCUGUUGGCUCACUUGUUUCCAUACAUAUCAUGUCAGGCAAUGAUGAAAGAUCAAUUCGCAAACUAUGUUGUACAGAAAGUCCUGGAGACUUGUGAUGACCAGCAACGUGAGCUGAUCCUUUCACGAAUAAAAGUCCACCUGAAUGCGCUGAAGAAGUACACCUAUGGAAAGCAUAUAGUGGCACGUGUAGAAAAGCUUGUUGCAGCUGGAGAACGUAGGAUCGGAGUCCAGUCUGCUUACCUGUCUUAGAUGGCUGUCUUAGAUGGCAUAGGAAAGAAAGUUGUUGUACAGCUAACCGAGCCGGUGUGAGCUCCCUUUCUCUCUUUAUGUAUCUCUCUAUCUAUUCGGACAGGUAAAAGGCUUUGAGGCUCAGAUGGUGAAUGCACCUGAUUGAUGCCCAUGCGGAGGAGAUAAAAAGUGUUUGUACAAGUUCCUGAGGGUGUGUAAAAAAGAAGAAAAAAGGAGGUAGUGAAUAUGUUAACGUGACUGUAUAAAUAUCACCAUGUCGAGAGCCGUUGGUUGUUUAGGUAAAAGCUUGAAUUUUUCCCCUUUCCUUUAUGGGAUUUUGAUUAUUUUAGUUCCUGAAAUACAUUUUUACAAUGUGGCCCACACCCUUGUUUGAGGACACAUGUUUUUGUUUCAAUCUCUAUCAAUUUCUGCAUGCUUCGUUCCAA